rnacentral:misc_RNA from 1 species
AUCACCAUCUCCUCCUCCUCCCACUUACUACUACUCAUCACCACCGCCACCAUCACCAUCACCUCCCCCGCCCACUUACUCUUCUCCGCCACCACCACCACCAUUUUACGAAAAUAUUCCUCUCCCACCGGUAAUCGGAGUCUCCUACGCAUCUCCACCACCACCAGUCAUUCCAUAUUACUGAACAAGGGUUAUCAAUUAGCCUUUGAUUUUCCAUUA